rnacentral:rRNA from 1 species
AUGAACGCUAGCGGCAGGCUUAACACAUGCAAGUCGAGGGGCAGCAUGAGACGGAGAUUCGUCGAAGUCUUGAUGGCGACCGGCGCAAGGGUGCGUAACGCGUGAGCAACUUGCCCGUUUCAGGGGGAUAACCGGUGGAAACGCCGACUAAUACCCCAUAGUAUUGCGAUAAGGCAUCUUUUUGCAAUUAAAGAAAUUCGGAAACGGAUAGGCUCGCGUGACAUUAGCUAGAUGGUGAGGUAACGGCUCACCAUGGCGACGAUGUCUAGGGGUUCUGAGAGGAAGGUCCCCCACACUGGAACUGAGACACGGUCCAGACUCCUACGGGAGGCAGCAGUGAGGAAUAUUGGUCAAUGGUCGAAGGACUGAACCAGCCAUGCCGCGUGAAGGUGACGGCCCUAUGGGUCUUAAACUUCUUUUGCAAGGGAGCAAUAAGUCCCACGUGUGGGAUGAUGAGAGUACCUUGCGAAUAAGCAUCGGCUAACUCCGUG